rnacentral:misc_RNA from 1 species
AAGGUACACAGAACACAGA